rnacentral:lncRNA from 1 species
UGAACAUUCGGAGAGAUCGAAUAAAAUAGAGGGAGCGUAGCUAGGUCACAUGUAUGAUGCUAAGUGCACAUCAUGUGUACAAGAAAGCUACGAGAUACCAUGUAGUAGCUAGGUCACAUGUGUGAUACGGGAUGUAUCCCAUGUAGACAAGAGAGCUACGUGAGAGAUAAAUGUAGCUAGGUCGCAUGCGUGAUUCCAAGUGAAGGACACCAUGUAGACAAGAGAGCUACGAGACAAAUCAGCUAGGUCGCAUGAGUGGUACUAAGUGUUCACCAUGUGUACAAGAGAGCCGAACUAAAUGAAGUAUGAUGGUGGGGCUGUGUGCUGAAACCAUUAAAUAUCAAGGAUUGAUCCGAAUUGUUCAACGGGAUGGUUUUGUGGUGACAUUGUGGUUAUGGACCUAC